rnacentral:rRNA from 1 species
UACGUAGGGGGCGAGCGUUGUCCGGAUUUAUUGGGCGUAAAGAGCUCGUAGGCGGUUUGGUAAGUCGGGUGUGAAAUCUCCACGCUCAACGUGGAGGGGCCACUCGAUACUGCCAUGACUCGAGUCCGGUAGAGGAGUGUGGAAUUCCCGGUGUAGCGGUGAAAUGCGCAGAUAUCGGGAGGAACACCAGUGGCGAAGGCGACUACCUGGCCUGUUCUUGACGCUGAGGCGCGAAAGCUAGGGGAGCAAACGGG